AAUGCCGAACACGGGGCACUCAGACAGAUGCAACCAGGGGGUGUGGCCCACACGUAACGAGCAAUCCCCAUAGAUUGAAACGGCUGCCAACCCUUCCGCCCUGCCGAGUGCAUACACGUUUGAGUUUGAAGUUGGAUUUGAUCCGCCACUCCGUCUUCACUUCCAUUUCUCCCUGUUAAUUAUUCCCUUUCUUCCGUUCCCCACCUCACACGAAGACACCCUAGUGUUCCCACACAUACAGAGAUUACACAGUACCCAGAGAUGCUUCUCUCUGUUCCACGCCUUCCAUGAGGAGGCUAGGAGGGAUGACGAAGAAAGCCCCACCGCCAAUAGUGGCGCGGCGUGUUAUCUGGUUGAGCUGGAAGCUCGUCGUCUUCCUCUCCCUCGCUCUUUGCGCCCUUGCUCUCCUCAGACUCCACUCUCAGCCCGACCUCUCUUCACCCUCUCCAUCUCGCGUCCGUCCUCGAAUUUCUCACUAUAUCCUCGACCGCCCCUCCAAGAUCGCCUUCCUUUUCCUCGCUCGUACUAACCUCCCUCUCGAUUUUCUCUGGGAUACUUUCUUCGAGUAUGCUGACGUUGCGAACUUCUCGAUCUACAUUCACUCGGCGCCGGGGUUCGUGUUCGACGACUCAACAGCGAAGUCGCCUUUCUUUCGUGGUCGAGAAUUAAAGAAUAGCAUUCAGGUGUUAUGGGGAGAAUCGAGUAUGAUUGAAGCGGAGAAGUUGUUGCUUGACGCAGCUCUCCAGGAUCCAGCGAAUCAAAGAUUUAUCCUACUCUCUGACAGUUGUGUUCCCCUGUACAACUUUAGCUUCAUAUACAACUAUUUGAUGGCUUCUCCAAGAAGUUUUGUGGACAGCUUUCUUGAUAUGAAAGAAGGCCGCUACAACCCAAAGAUGUCACCUGUAAUACCGAAGGAGAAAUGGCGAAAAGGGUCCCAGUGGAUUGCUUUAGUUCGAAGCCAUGCAGAAGUCAUUGUAGAGGACGAGGCUAUUCUUUCAGUAUUUAAGAAAUUUUGCAAGCGACGCCCCCCUGUAGAUGCCAGCAAGGGAAAGCUGAAUAUUAAUCUUCAGAAGCAACAUAACUGUAUUCCAGAUGAACACUACGUGCAGACAUUGCUUGCGAUGAGUGAUCUUGAAGGUGAACUUGAACGAAGAACAUUGACCUAUACCCUAUGGAAUCAGUCUGCUACAAAAAUGGAGAAGAAAGGCUGGCAUCCAUUUACAUUCAACUUUGCAAAUGCUGGCCCUAAACAAAUCAAGGAAAUAAAGGACAUCAACCAUGUGUACUAUGAGACGGAGUUUCGGAUAGAAUGGUGCCGUAGUAAUUCUACGCUCGUUCCCUGUUUUUUGUUUGCAAGGAAAUUUUCCCAGGGAGCUGCCAUGCGCCUCUUGAGUGAUGGAGUGGUUGGUCGCUCUGAUGCUACUGAACUGCUAGACUCACUCCCAUGAUUCAUAACUUUCUCAUGGUUCUCUAACAAUCAAGUGACACAUUUAGAGAUUUAAUUUGGGCAGCAAUCAUUGAACCCUAAAAAUGGGGCCAGCAAGUGGAAUGCCCACUGAGUUUACAGAUACUAUACAUGACACACAGGACAUAUUUUGAUACUCUAGAGACCAAAAGAAUGGUAGCUGCUGCUGAUCAAGUUAGUUCCAGAGAAGACAAGUAGUAGGAUCGAAGUCAAGGGUUCGAGGCCAUCAUGCGCCGCUUCCCACCGGGAGAUUAUUGAGCAUUUUUAACUUGAAAGCAUUAUCUUACCACCUUUGAUUCAUUGCAUUCUUUACAAGGGAAUUUUCCCCCACGACUCAAAGGCUCAGAAAACAAGCCAAAGUAUGGAGAGACCAGCCCGACUGGACGGCCCCUCGACUCGUUAGGGGCGCCUAGCCCAAAGCUGAGGUCAACCCAUGGUCACAAUCAGGCAAGAAAUUCCAAAAAGUAAAGGAGACACAUGUCUUCCCGACACUCCCUAUCACAACUCCUAGAAGGAUUGUCCGGAACCACACCUCGACACGGCUCUUGGAGGGUCAGGAUAGUCACAUGGUUAGCCUGCUUAUAUGCCUUAGCUCAUGCCCUAACAUGCAACGGGCGUCUAUGAAGGCUAUUGGCUGUGCGCAGUCUAUGCGUGCAUGUAUGCACAUUCCCUUGAGAAGUACCUGUGUGCAUGCAUGCCCGCCUGAGCACCACUUAGCGAAGUUAGUGGCGUGCCCUCACAGAUACACCAUCUAGCGCACGGCUCCAGUUCGUGCCUUGCAGAAUCCAGCGCACAGUUCCAGCCUGUGCCUUGCGGCUCCAGUGCUCAGACUAUCAACUUGGGCCCAUGCAUGCCCAUUGCCUAGGCCACCAGCUCGGGCCAUGUAGGACCACUGUCCAAGCUACUUGAUUGAGCCUCAUAGCAGCAGCACAACACCAUCCUGUGCCCACCAUCAGACAUAGGUUUGGCACCAUGCCAUGCUACCAUCAGCAGGCCACGUACAACUCCAUACCGUGCCCACCACCAAACCAACGCAUGACACCAUGCCAUGCCAUGUAGCCAUGCCAUCUAGCAGACUCAUGUGUGGCACCAUGCCACGCCUAGCAACAAGCCAUGCACGGCCCCAAGCACUGCCAACCAUCAAGCCAUGCAUGGCAUCAUGUCGUGCACACCAUGAGUUACCAUGGCCCAUCGAUGGGCUGUAGCAUGCCACAGGCCACCAUGGCCCGUCCAUCAUUAUGUUAUUGCUUUUAAUUAAUUCAUUUAUUUAAUUUAUUUUGCUAGGGACCUUUUGGAGGUUUCCAACUUGUAAGCUCUAUAAAUAGGACUCUUAGUCAUUUCACUUACAUCUUUUGGCAAUUACCCUAGAGGAAGAUUAUCCGUUUUGGAGAUCAUUGUUCGGUGCCUUUGCACUUUGGCUUUUUGGAUGAAAUUUGUGGAUCCCAAGAAAAGAAUCAUCACCUUGCAUUCAUUGAAUAUGUGAUUCAAUUUAUCAAUUUAUGAGGUUUUCUUU